rnacentral:rRNA from 1 species
CUUUAUUGGAGAGUUUGAUCCUGGCUCAGGAUGAACGCUGGCGGCGUGCCUAAUACAUGCAAGUCGAGCGAAUGGAUUAAGAGCUUGCUCUUAUGAAGUUAGCGGCGGACGGGUGAGUAACACGUGGGUAACCUGCCCAUAAGACUGGGAUAACUCCGGGAAACCGGGGCUAAUACCGGAUAACAUUUUGAACCACAUGGUUCGAAAUUGAAAGGCGGCUUCGGCUGUCACUUAUGGAUGGACCCGC